rnacentral:rRNA from 1 species
GACGUAGGGCGCGAGCGUUGUCCGGAUUUAUUGGGCGUAAAGAGCUCGUAGGCGGUUUGGCAAGUCGGGUGUGAAAACUCCGGGCUCAACUCGGAGACGCCACUCGAUACUGCCAUGACUUGAGUCCGGUAGGGGAGUGCGGAAUUCCUGGUGUAGCGGUGAAAUGCGCAGAUAUCAGGAGGAACACCGAUGGCGAAGGCAGUGGUCUGGGCCGGCACUGACGCUGAAUAGCGAGAGCGUGGGUAGCGAACAGG